rnacentral:lncRNA from 1 species
UUCUAUUGGAUACCACUGUUCUAGAUCACGCUGAAUGCACACAUAAUGGAGACCAUGGAUGCCUUGCCCAAACAGCCAAGAGCCUGUUUCUGGAGGCUGCAUGGACUCCUCCCCCAGGACCUGAAACAAUGCCUGGAUCUGCAGAAGUGCUGUACAUCACCGGUUCUUACUAACUCCAUCUUACAGAUGGGACACCAAGGUGUGGAGAGGUGAGGUAAUCUUGCUUAAGGAUCACACUGGCUUAGUGCCAGAGCUGAGGUUCAAACCCAGCUUGCCUACACUCUAAAGCCCGUGGUCUUUCCCGCUGUCACGCUGCCUCUCACAUGGGAGCAUUUCUCAACCACAAAGAUAAAUUCGUCUCCUCUUUCAUGCGGGGUGCAUUUGCCGAGCUGGAGAGAGGAGGCUAAAAAUACCACCGGGUGUAAAUCCCAUCCAGCGAGAAGGGACGAGCCUGGUUGGGCUGGACAUGGAAGGAAAGGCUCCGCUCCAUCUCCUCGUUUUUUCAAUCAAAGGCCUUCGGUCUGAAAACACACCUGAGCCUGUGAUGAGCUUCUGAAACCAGCGUUGUGAUGACAGAGCAGGAGACCUUGCCAUGGCCCUGCGUCCUCUUCGGCCUCCUCUCCUGCUGCCUCCCUCCAGCUGGCUCCCUGUGCUCCAGCCCCAGGGAGGUCAUCUCUGGUCCUAGAACAAGCCAAGCCAGUGGGUGCCAUCUUUGGGACUUCAUGCACACGCCCAGACUCAGAUCUUCCCAGGGCUGGCUGCUGGCUCAGAUGUCCCAAUCAAGGCAGCCCUUGCCUGCCACCCUGCCCAAAGUGGCCUCUGCCACCUCCCCAAGCCAACCCACUUACUCUCUAGCACGGCGCCCCUUUGUAGUCUGCAGAGCGCUUAGCGCGAUCUGAUAUCACGUUGUCCAUUGCUGUGUUAAUCUGUUUCUCUCCUACUGUCCCCCUAGAGCCUGAAGACCGUGGGCACUGAGUCAGUCUCGCCCACCGCUGUCUCUCUGCAGCCUGCAUUAUGCCUGAUGCCUAUUCGUCCUCAAAAAUGUGUUUUGAAUAAAUAAAUGUAUGCACGCAGGAAUGAAUGAACAAAGGAAUGGAGCCUCAGUCCUGAUCGAGACUGUGCCACUCACUCUCUGUGUGACUUCAGGAAAGUCCCUUUACCUCUGUAGCUCUCAUUCUUCUCAAUUACAGAAUGAGGGGAUUGCCCUAAAUUAGGAUGUUUUAAGGUUUACUUUGUGGGUGACACUGAAGUGUUUAAGCAGGAGAGUCACAUGCUCUUAUCUGCAUUAAAAACAAGAAGAAAAGCACUCUGGGAUCCAGCAGAAAGUGAAUCAGAGGUGCCCAUUCUGGAGUCCAGGGAGUGGCUGGGAGGCUGUGACAGAAGUACAGGCCAGAGAGGAAUGAGUCACUCAGGCUUCUCAGAAGACAGCAGACAGAGCUCACAACACUCUCCAGUGACAAACUGUCACCAGGCACCCAAGUCUUCGGUAGAGUUAUAAAUGCUGUGGC